AGAAUCAACGCUGGCGGCGUGCCUAACACAUGCAAGUCGCACGAGAAAGGGACUUCGGUCCUGAGUACAGUGGCGCACGGGUGAGUAACACGUGAAUAAUCUACCUUCGAGUGGGGAAUAACUGAGAGAAAUCUCAGCUAAUACCGCAUAAUACCUACGGGUCAAAGCAGCAAUGUGCUUGAAGAGGAGUUCGCGGCAGAUUAGUUAGUUGGCGGGGUAAUGGCCCACCAAGACGAUGAUCUGUAUCCGGCCUGAGAGGGCGCACGGACACACUGGAACUGAAACACGGUCCAGACUCCUACGGGAGGCAGCAGUGGGGAAUUUUGCGCAAUGGGGGAAACCCUGACGCAGCAACGCCGCGUGGAGGAUGAAAUAUCUUGGUAUGUAAACUCCUUUCGAUCGGGAAGAUAAUGACGGUACCGAGAGAAGAAGCCCGGCUAACUCGCGCCAGCAGCCGC
rnacentral:rRNA from 1 species